GGAUUCCUGUGGAUUUAAUCCUGUAGGAUGAAAACAAUAGUGAAUAUGUCUGUGUGUGGUUCAUGCAUCCUAAUGUAUCAGGCUAUGUCUUAGCACGACAUUAGCAAUAACAGGUUGUGAAGCUAAAAUAAACUUUUCUAAACGAUCAGCCACACUAGAAAAAAGCCUGAAAUCUCUUUCUGUUCCCUCUGUGGACAACAGUGUUUCAAACUUAUUGUGAUAUGAAGAGACAAUCAAAGAGUAUGCAGCCAAAAAAGAAAGAAUAAAGUGUUGUAGAAGUGUGUUAAGACAAUUAAUUAACAUAAGCUAAUGUUAUUUUCUGUAUUUUGUGUUUUUGUGGUGUUUUCCAGCUUUUAAAACUUUGUGAUUUGUUACUAUUUAUUUUCUCCUUCUAUUCACUUUUGUAUUUAAUUUUGUACUUAUAAUUUUGCCUUCAUUUUCUUUAAAAGAGUGAACAUCAUUCAGGCCAAGUAAACCUGCAUCGGCCCCCGUGCAUAGGCUGCAAUGAAGAGAUGGGAACGGCCAGCCUGCCCAGGACAGAGGCUGAGAACUGGGGAAUCACAGCCAGCAGGCCAUUACAAAAGGUUUCCUAGGAACGCUCUGGUUUUGGACAGCGGGGGAAACCCGUACAUGGUGGGCAGGAGCAUCCUGAUCUGCGACGACAGAGGGACGCCGAGAGGAAUCUGAAUGAACAGGCCUCGCUAAGCGUCCCCCAGUCUACUGCACUUCCCUCAUGCCAUUUGUCCAUGACGUCUCUCUGCGACUGUCCACUCUUCAUCAGACCUAGCAUAAAAACGCUCAGGUUUAACUGCUCUUUCUGG
rnacentral:lncRNA from 1 species